AAUUUAUCAAAAAUAAAAGAUAAGAUAUACAUCAACAUUUUUGAUGAAAUGAUCAUUGAAAAACAUAAGAUUAGUGGAACAUUUCAAGUAAAUAUUCCACCAGUGUUGCUUGGAUAUUCUUGGAGUAAGAAUUAUGUAUCUCCAAAAGAAGAUUACAAUGGACAGAAUUUAAGAGAAUGUACCUUCAUAAAUAUUUUUGCUACCAUUGAACCACAAAUAUCAUAUGUUGCCUAUAAUUCAAAACUAGACAAGUUUUCAGAUCAAGUAGAUGUUUUGCAGAGAGCACAGAUUUUUAAAAAUAAUUGUAAAACAAUGUUUCCCAACCGAAGAAUCAUAACUACUGUUUUUAAUGAUGAAGGGAUACAGACAUUAGUAACAAGAUAUAUCAAAGCAUUAAAUCCACCUCAACAACUUCUAGAUAUAUUUCUUCAUGAUUCUAAUGCAACACUUGACCUCAUUGCUCGAUUUGUGUCUCUGAUUCCUUUUAUGCCUGCUACGCUGGAUGCCAAUGAUGGUUCUGAUAUAUGGAUGACAUCAGAGCGCUGCAUCAGCUUAGCUAUUGGAAAUAAGGAAGAGCAUGCCAUACUUCUCUGCAAUUUCUUUUUAUAUUUUGGAAAGAAGGCAUCGGUCCUCCUGGGAACCUCAUUAUUAGAAGGGCAUGUUGCCUAUGUAUUAACUCAGGAAACUAAUGAAUGUUUGCUUUGGAAUCCAUCAACUGGACAAUGUCACAAGCAGUUUGAUCCAUUUUGUCCCUUACAAAGCAUAGAUUGUUUGUUUGAUGACAGGAAUGAAAGUUUCUGGAAACAGUUGCUUCCAAAAAAUUUUCAGGGGACAAAAUUACAAAGCAUACAGCCUGAAGAAAUCAUUUAUUCUGAUACAAAUAAAAAUAUGCUAGAAGAUCUAAAGAACAGGAUUGAAAGAACUCUAAAGUAUAAAAUAAUGGAAUGGAGACCUAAGCACCCAACACGUUGGAAUCGACAAUGUACUUCUAUUUUGCGACAAAUCCUUCCUAAGCUGGAACUUGGUACAGGAAGUCUUGUUUCAUCUGAAGGAGAGAGUGAAUUUGAAAAACUGCUACAAUUUUACUGGAUCACAGGAUUUCCUGUUCAGGUGCCAUACACUGAUGUUCAGUCAGUUAUUGAUGCCGUAUAUCAAACUGGAAUUCACUCUUCUGAAUUUCCUGAGACAGAAUUUGCUUUAGCUGUAUAUAUUCACCCAUACCCAAACAACAUAUUAUCUGUGUGGGUCUAUUUGGUAUCCUUAACCCAAUGUCACUGAAAAGAAGGGAAAGUCUUUGAAGAUAAGUGUAGAUGACCAGAGAUCUCUUCCAGGAAGAUCUUUUGAGCAUUACUCUCUACAACAGAUAUUACUCUGGAAAAGAAGCAAUUCUGGCUUGUUCCCCUUAAGGCCAACGCUUCUCAGAUGUGGACCUGACACCACUUUCACAAGAAUCACCUGGAGAAUCUUGUUGACAAUGCAAAUUCCAGAUGCCACCUAAGACCUAUUGAAUCAGAUCUCUAAGAGUGGAGCUCCAGAUUCUGCAUUAUUUUCAGCAAACUCCCCAGGAAAUCGUGAUAAGACUGCUAAUAGAAAAAGAAUGCAGCCAAACAGAAUGCUGUCAUUAUUAAAGUAGAGAAGAUACAUUUAAUGCAGGUUCUGAUAAUAUUGCAUGUAGAAGUUAUUCAAAUUGAAACUUAAGGUCAUUGCCUUUCAUAAAAGGUUAUUUCACUGGUAAAGAAAACCAGGAAAAUCUACCGAAGUCAGCUUCUAGGGACUUCUUAAAAGUUUGCUCUUAGAAUACUUCUGACAAGAAAUCCUUACAGCUCCUCAAAUUUGGAAGGGACUCCCAGGACACUUAUUUUUUUUGUUGACUCUGUGAAGAAGUAAGGAAACUGUCUUAACAAAUCCCAGGGCUCUUUUUGUCUUUAGUGAGUGGCUCCCACUUGGCCUCUGGCACUUUUCUAUUAUUCUCGUUUUCCCAGUAGUGGCCACAGGGAGGCUCAUGUAGAUUCCAGGAGCCUCCAGAAAGGAUGGAUAGGAAUCUAAACAGGAAACAACACUGUAUAUUUUUAUUCUAUUUCAUUGUUCUGUGCUCCACGGAGAAAAGUAUUUAUACAGUUUACUUAAAUGUGACUUAUCAUUUUAAAAAUAUAACCAAGGGAUGCAUACUUCUAAAAGUUGACCAGAAGGGCCGGGGAAUUAGCUCAGUGGUUCCGCUGCCUGCCUUGCAAGCACAAGGUCCUGAGUUCAAUCCCGGGUAGCAAAAUAAAUAAAUAAAUAAAAGUUGACCAGAACAGUUUUAUCUGUCCCAUUGCAAGAGCACUGCACCUGCUUGGUUCACUCAAAUAGAGAGCAGAGACCCUCAUAUUCAUCCACAGGGAACUUCCAAUCUCUGUCCCUUCCUCCAAUUUGCCACUUAGGCUGGUGCUACAGAUGGCCUUAUUUGUUUCCAGUGAUGUUAAUCUUGGGCCUACCUUGAGAUUACCAGAAGAGGUAAGGUAGGGACAUGGAUGCAGGAAUUUUUUUCUUCAAGUUAAAACCUACUCAUAUGUCUUCUGACAUGCAUAAGAAAACCAAUUAGAAUUUUUGUUUUUAUUUUAAAGUUUGUGCUUAAGUGUUAUAUGAAAUUUUAUUUUAAAACAAGUUUCCCACUUUGAGGUGGUGCAAUAUGGUGCCUGUGAAAAGAUGGCAUUACCUGGGCCGGGGAUUUAGUGCAGCAGUUCUGCCUUGCAAGCACAAGGACCCAAGUUCAAUCCCUGGUACCAAAGGAAAAAAAAAAAAAAAAAAAAAAAGAUGGCAUUACCAUAGAAAUGCUAAAUUUAUGUAUUUAUUUCUGUAGGACUUCUUUUCUUGUGUAUGGCUUUAGAAUUUGUAGGCCACUUAAGAGUAAGGUAGCAAACAGUCACAAGUAUGAGGACUUUUCUUUAUUACAUGCAUUUUUUUAGAUGUUUAUCUGCUACUUUUUAAACUAAUUUCUCCUGAAAAUUGUGAAGUUGUCCAUAAUGAAGCAUUUUUUUCCUUCAAAGGUUUUUAAAAUACAUACUUUAAAAUGGAGUAUAAGGG
rnacentral:lncRNA from 1 species